UGAAAUGGAAUCUCACAACAGCUCUGGGUAUCUCUGUUGCAGUGUGUUAUUGUUGUCACAGUGGAUUCAAGUCACUUUCGAAAAGAAGCCAUCUCGGAAUUACUUAGUGUAGCUGAUUAACAUAAAAAACAACCUCAACAGGGAUGGCUUCCCACUCCCUCAUCAUGGGGAAUACCCGUAGCUGACCAGCUCUGCCACUGGCCAGAGAACCACCCAGAAGUUGACUGCUUUAGCAGCAGACUCAAAGUAAGCAGACAAGAUGCCCCCAGGAAGCAGUGGUGAAUAGAAACAUCUCACCAAGAAAACAGCCUCCACUCAACAGUAUUCCUGCCUUAUUCUCCAUCUCUUACUGACCUGCAACCAGAUGUCUUCCAAGAAAACACGAGCCUUUCUCUCUUCGGUGCAUACUAUCUAAGUAGUAUGUCUCAUACUAUCUAAAGUUUCAGCUUCUACCAGGAGUGGAAUCCCAAACCAGUCAAUCUGGAAUUACCUUAUCAGUUCUAGUGAAGUAAUCUGCUUGAUAGACCCUUGCCAUCCAUUCAAGGAAGGUGACCUUGCCACAAAUAAUCAGCUCCUUGCUUGUAUAACUUCUUUGUCCUGCCUCCUUCUGCCUAUAGAAGUCUUACAUCUUGGAUGGGUCUUUAAAGUUCCUUUCUAUCUGCUAGAUGGGAUGCUGCACAUUU